GCUGUGUUGACACGCUCUGCACCUUGCUCCUGCCCUCGCCUUUCACUCUUCUUAUCCCCUCAAUACCCCCAUCAUUCCUGACAGCUCCUGAGUGCCUGGAUUUCAUCAUCCAGCCCUGCAGGAUGCUCCCCUUUGUUCUGAGGAAGGCUGUCCAAGAUGGAGAGGAGGAGAUGGAGGUAGAUACAAAGAUUGAUAUGGAGGAGGAGAUGGAAAUAGACGGAGAAGACCCUGGAGAGGAGGAGAUGGAUGUGGAUGUGGAAGAGUCCAUUGAGGACAUGGAUAUUGAUUAAAAAGGUGCGAUGGACAUCAUGGAGGGAGAUGCCACCUUUUUGUACAUACGUUUUACACUUUGAUGUUGUCUUUAGGAUAUAGCUUUUAUGGUGUUUGUCUUCUGUAAAUACGUUUCAUAUAUUUUUUGUUAGAAAGGUUUUUCUGUAUAUAUGUUCUAUCGAUUGUUGUUGUUACA